rnacentral:lncRNA from 10 species
CGUGGCCCACCUUGCCGCGGAUGCCGUCGGUGCUCUGGGCCACGGGGUGCCGGUGGAAGAUCCCAGCUUCAGCAGAUGUUGACCCUAUUCCGAGAGCUCUGGCUAAUGUUCAAUCUGAGGGAAUACCAGAACACAUAACAAUUUGCAACACUAGGCAGUUUUAAGAUAGCAGAAUAAAGUUACUCCUUUUCAUAUCCGAAAUCACCCAAAAUCCAGGAGAAAAAAAGAAAUGCAAACUCCUUCUUCAGCAAACUAGAACACAUUUAUAACCUGAAACACAGCUUAUAAGGAAAGGCUGCCCAAAACAGGUAAGGGCUACCAAAAGCAGUGAAGAUCAAAAAUACUGUGAGAAAACACCUAGAGAAGACACCUGUGGUGGCAGAUCUCAGACAAAGCUGGCAGAGCCAGCCAGGAGCUGGCAUUCCCUGAAGGAAAAAACUAAUGAUCCCUUAUCAGAAAAAAUGGGAACAGGGCAUGUGGUCUGGUAGUGGGAGCUGCCUCCUACACCCUGGGGGAAGAGGAGGGCAGGGCCAACAGAGGAAACCACAGACCCGCCAUCUUCACAGGAAGCAGUGUGUUGGCAAGGCAGAGUGAGAGGAGGGCUCUGAAUUGGGAGAAGCCCACAGCUGCAGAACUCUGCUGACAGAGUAGAAGCAAAGACUAAAGGAAGUCACUACAACAACCCUGUGAACAAAGUUCCUGGGAACCAGGGAGCAAUCCUGCCCUCUUCUUGGUACCUCCUCCACAUGUGUCUCCUGCAAAAUGCUGAUCCAAGAAGGUUUACCUCUUUCAAAGAGGAACCAGCACAGGAUAUAGUCAAAGAUGCUAUAGAAGAAAGAAAGGAAUAAACGAACAGGACAAAACAUGGCAAACCAAGCAAACUCACCUGAAAAAAGCUGCCACAAAGCAGAUAAAAAUGGGAACCAAAUUUGUAAACUAAUUUUGUGAUUGAUUAUUUCAGAAGGGAGACACCUAGCAUGGUCUCAACAAAAGAUUAAAUCCAUUUUGGCUAGUUAUAAAGGUAACCUCCAGAACUAAAAAUAAAAAUACACAUCUUGCAGAUACAAACCUUGAACAUAAUACAAAAUAAAACAGAUCAUAUACUGAAAGAUUUUGUUAGAAAGCAAGAGAGGCAAAAAGGCAUAAAAGCAUGAAAUAUGAUAGUAAAACUAAGACCGAAAUAUUGACCAUGUCAUUAAAUGGCCAUAGUAAACUGCUAAAAAAAGAUUAUAAGACUGGGGAAAAACACAAAACCCCCAACCAUAUGCUACAUAUAAGAGACAUUCCCCAAAGCAAAGUGAUUUAACAAUUUUGAAAAUAAAGGAAGGGCAAACACAUAACAGGGAAGUGUGAACUCAAACUAAGCAGGCACUGUAAUCUUAAUAUUAGGCAAGUAAAGUUGAUUUCAGGACAAAAGGUUUUAAGUGAGACAAGAAUACUUAAUAAUAAUAAAGAAUGCGAUCCACAAUUGAAGACCGAACUCACCAAAUAGCACCAAAAUUCAGAGCAAAAGCUAGAGGAAAUAUAAGGAGGGGCCUUAGACAGACACACAUCAGAGGCAUGUAAUUUUAAUUUCCCUCUUCUAGCUCAUGAUGGACCAGUGGACCAAAAUUAAGUAAAGACAUAGAAAAACCAAAUUACAUAAUUAAUAAGACAGAUCUAACUAAUGUGUUCAUCAAAUUCUAUACCUUGAAAACAAAGAAUGCAUGUUCUUUUCAAGUGUUCAUGGAAUGAUCAAAAAAAUUUUCCUGUAUAUUAGGUCACAAACAAAACUUCAAAAAAAGCAAAAAUAAUACAGUAUCUGAUAACACAGAAGGAAAACUAGAAAUUAAUCACAAAAUUAUAGAUCACAAAAUCCUAUCACUUAGGCAUUUUAAAAAAUUCUUUAAACAACUUGACCCCAACUCAGAUCAAAAAAGAAAUCCAUAUAGAAAUUGCAGAAUAUCUGGAAUACAACAAUAACAAAAAGCAUUCCACAUACUAGAACCUGCGGGGUGCCUCUACAGCAGUUCUCAGAGGAAAUCAUGGCUGAUAUAUUUAUGCUAUUAAAUUUUAAAAAAUGAAUGGAGCAUAAUAAAAUAGGGAAAUAAUAGAACUAAGCAAAAACUAAAGAGAUGGUUCUUUGGGAAAAACUACCACAAAAACAAAACAAAAUCAAUAAAACAUAUAAACUAUUAAAGCUAAUCAUGUAAUGUAUCAUAUUAUAUUAUGUUAUAUUAUUAUAUUACUAUUAUAUUAAUCUAUCAUGUUGAUAGUGUGUACCCUUGAUAUGAUAUAAUGAAAUCUUCCUUUGGGUGUCUUCCCCAAAACCCAUAACCUCACUCUAAUCAUGAGAAAAACAAAGGACAAAUUCCAUCUGGAGGCCAUCCCACAAAAUACCUGACCUAACCGGCAAGGUCAUCGGAACCAAAGUCUGAGAAACCAUCAUAGUGAAGAGGGCCCUAAGGAGACCUAACAAUUCCACAUAAUGUGGUAUCCUGGAUGGGAUCUGGAACAGAAAAAGGAUAUUAGGGGCUGGGCUUGGUGGCUCACACCUGUAAUCCCAG